CCUCAGCCUCGCUUCUCGCAUCUUCUCAUCCACCGGGGCCACCCACACCUUCUCUCGAAUAACUUCAUUCUUAAUCUUAUCUAACCUGGUAAGCCUGCACAUCCACCUGAGCAUCCUCAUCUCCGCAACUUUCAUCCUCUGAACGUGAGAGUUCUUCACUGGCCAGCACUCUGCCCCAUACAACAUGGAAGGCCUAACCACAGCUCCAUAAAAUUUCCCCUUGAGUUUCUGUGGAACUUUCUUGUCACACAGGUCUCCUGAUGCAAGCCUCCACUUUGACCACCCCGCUCCUAUACGAUGAGUGACGUCCCCGUCAAUCUCUCCGUCCCCCUGAAUCACAGACCCAAGAUAUNNN
rnacentral:lncRNA from 1 species